UCCCAUGUUUUUUUGGGUGUUUUUACCCGAGAGACAAAACGGCGACAAAUUUCUCGAAUUCCCCGCUCCUCUCCUAAUGAGUUAUGUGGUCGUUUGGAAAAAGGAAAACCGUUUGGCCAGCAGUGGCCACUGCUAAAAAUGAAAAAAGACGAUGAUGGGUGAUGAUCAGAAAUCAUCCACACCUUUUCCUCGGAGAAAA
ensembl:ncRNA C06E1.13 ncRNA